rnacentral:rRNA from 1 species
UACGAAGGGUGCAAGCGUUACUCGGAAUUACUGGGCGUAAAGCGUGCGUAGGUGGUGGUUUAAGUCUGCUGUGAAAGCCCUGGGCUCAACCUGGGAAUUGCAGUGGAUACUGGAUCACUAGAGUGUGGUAGAGGGAUGCGGAGUUUCUGGUGUAGCAGUGAAAUGCGUAGAGAUCAGAAGGAACAUCCGUGGCGAAGGCGGCAUCCUGGGCCAACACUGACACUGAGGCACGAAAGCGUGGGGAGCAAACAGG